UGAGCAAUCUGCCCUUCUCAUCGGAAUAAGCGUUGGAAACGACGUCUAAUGCCGAAUACGACCUCCUUUCGCAUUAUCGGAGGUGGAAAGCUCCGGCGGAGAAGGAUGAGCUCGCGGCCUAUCAGCUAGUUGGUGAGGUAAUAGCUCACCAAGGCGAUGGACGGGUAGCCGGCCUGAGAGGGUGACCGGCCACACGUGGGACUGAGACACGGCCCAGACUCCGUAGGGA
rnacentral:rRNA from 1 species